rnacentral:rRNA from 1 species
CACGGGGGGAGCAAGCGUUGUUCGGAUUCAUUGGGCGUAAAGAGCUCGUAGGUGGCUCUGUAAGUCGGAGGUGAAAGACCACGGCUCAACCGUGGAAACGCCUUCGAAACUGUGGAGCUUGAGGCUGGGAGAGGGAAUCGGAAUUCCUGGUGUAGCGGUGAAAUGCGUAGAUAUCAGGAGGAACACCGGUGGCGAAGGCGGAUUCCUGGACCAGUUCUGACACUGAGGAGCGAAAGCCGGGGGAGCAAACAGG